GUAGGUGGCAAGCGUUGUCCGGAAUUAUUGGGCGUAAAGCGCGCGCAGGCGGUCCUUUAAGUCUGAUGUGAAAGCCCGCGGCUCAACCGUGGAGGGUCAUUGGAAACUGGGGGACUUGAGUACAGAAGAGGAAAGCGGAAUUCCAAGUGUAGCGGUGAAAUGCGUAGAGAUUUGGAGGAACACCAGUGGCGAAGGCGGCUUUCUGGUCUGUAACUGACGCUGAGGCGCGAAAGCGUGGGGAGCAAACAGGGAUUAGAUACCCUGGUAGUCCACGCCGUAAACGAUGAGUGCUAAGUGUUAGGGGGUUUCCGCCCCCUUAGUGCUGCAGCUAACGCAUUAAGCACUCCGCCUGGGGAUACGGCCGCAAGGCUG
rnacentral:rRNA from 1 species